AAAGGGGAAGCUCUGCCCUAGAGUUGUCAUGCAAUGUGGACCUAUGUGUUAGGAUUUACAAAGGGAACAUCUACCUAAUGUUAGCAUUCAAAGAACAACGGAAUUCUACCUAGGUUAUCAUACAAAGGGUUCUACCUAAUGGGUGCUACCUACACGGAACAAGAGUCGACGGACGGAGCAAGGAGAGGAGCCACAGAUAAG
rnacentral:lncRNA from 1 species